rnacentral:lncRNA from 10 species
UUUCUUUGCACUGAAGUUGACUUCCAGUAACCAACUUAAGUUCUCUUGGAAGUAAAAAGCAGAGGCCACUCUCCUUAACCCCUCUGGAAAAUGAAACACAGCUAAAUACAUUGAUGCUCACCUGCAUUUUAUUCCUAUCAUCGAAGGUGGGGAGCACAGAGUCAGAAUGUUAACAUCUGCAAGGUUCGGGCGAACACCAGGUACAACUUUUUUGUUAUAGACAACAAACUGGGUCCAGAAGAGAAUGAGGAAUUUGCCCCGAAUGACCUAGAUGGCCACUCAAAGGGCAGGGAUCACUCGAUGAAGUUCCAACCUUCUUGCACAUUAAGG